UGGGAUGACGGACUCUGAGCGAUAACGCGACGCAGCAAAUCCCUCAUCUCCAGAAUCUCUUUGGCACUCUGCUCAUAACUUUGAGUGAGCUCCUCUAUCUUCUCUUCUAGUUGUUGCUUUCUCUGCUCAUACUCAUCAUGCUUAAAUGUCGGUUUUGACGUUAAAGAAUAAGAAGUAGCAGAUGAUGACGAUUUAAAAGCAGAUGUCUGAGAACCCACUCCGUGUACUAUUCUUUCUUUCUUCCCACUGAUUGCCUCCAGCUGCACAUCAUCUGGCUGCGUAGCCUCACUACACCCCUCCUCUUGUUGCUGUGUUGCAUUUUCCUUAAGCUCAAUGAAGUGCUCCUGCAUGGAAUUAAAAUUACAAGCGAUCACUUUAGAACUAUUUUGGUAAAUUAAAACUAUGUAUAAAUAUUUAAUUUUCACAUACAUGGAUAGCUUUAAGGCGUGCAUGAAUAAAAUUUGAAGUACCCUUUUUUCCGGGAGUAGCCUAAAAAACUCAUGUGGGUAAGGAUCUUUGUCCAACCUUUCUCGCUAUGAUGGAAAAAAUUUUAAAUUAUUUAGAUACUUUACUCAUUUAAUUGCACUAAUUCAUACUAAAUAUGAUAUGAGUAAAAGUAGAAUUAAACAAUACCGUUUGUUGAUGAUGACGAUACCGAGAUGUGGAGUCCUUAUAAUAGCGUGAGAUAGUUGCUCCGUCAUUGCCGGUUUUCCUCCUCCUAUUCCAUGAGAAUUUCUUGAAUUUUCCUAGAGGCUCAUAAUCACUCCAAGUAUAUCUCCGCCACUCCACUACUCUGUUUGAGACUGACAACCUCUUAUUCUUGCCAUUCCACGAUCUGAUGCUAUACAUUCGUGCUUCUGCCUUCAUGGAUUCAUGAUAGAAGCAGUGAUUGCUAAAUAAUACAAGACAAAUAUCUUCUGAUGGUUAUUAUGAAGAUACGAGCAUUUGGUAGCUUAACAAUUUCUCUGUUUUAGCCCUUUAAUAACGAGCUUAUAAGCUAUAAUUUGUCCUAUAAUGCAAUUGUUGAGUUCCGAGUCAAAAAAGGUAUAUUUGUUUCUUAUUUAAUUUGUUGUAUGUCUAACGUAUAAUCAUGAAGAAAAUUCAAAAACACCAUGUGCAGAGGAAUAAUACCUUCAAUAGUUAAGUAUAAGAGACUUAACCCAAUUUUCAUCUACAUUUCUAUGAUUGAAUAUAAUUCUUAGACCCUGAAGAUGACUGCUCCAAGAUAUUCAGAUUCCAAAAGCUUUUCCAAACUGAACAAGCUAGAGCAUCUAUACAGCAACUUGCUGGAUAAACAAGUUUUAAAGGUUUUGGGUAAAUUCUCGGCCCUCACAGUAAUUCUAUGGCAGGUCAACCAUCUGAGCUAGGUACGUGCAUUUGCAAAUUUAAUUUCCUCUUUUUUUUUUUUUUAUGCUUAGUUGCUAAGAAAAUUGAGUUUAAUAAGAUUUGAAUUAACCUAAUUUGGUUUAAAUCUUGCUGAACUUAGCAACUUGAAGUACUUAGUCUGCAAUUCAAUGACCCUGAAUGGAACUCUGCCCAUUCCUUGUUAAAAAAAUUAUUCUAUCAAAUUUCUAUUCCUAUUCACAAGUACAUUUCCAAAAUUUUAUUAGCAUGUUUUUCUUGGUAGAUUUGGGCAAUUUCAGGAGUUUGGAGAUUUUGGACUGGAGAGAGAACCAUUUCACUGGAAGCAUUCCACCAAACAUAUGAACAAAUCUGUACAUUACCAUAAAAUUUAGAGAUUUUGCCUGUUCACAUGAAGCAUAUAUGUAUAGAUGGACUUGAUAUUUUGUGAAAUUAUUAUAAAGUUUCAUAUGUUCAUAAUUUCUUGAAAUUAUCUGGUAACAUACUGAUGGGCUGGUCCAAAUAUCCAAUAUAUACUUCAUAUGAACAAUGCACUGGGCAUCUGUCAUCUCUCAGAGCUUUAAUUCCUGGGUAGCUAAAGUUUUAAAUUUUAUUUUUCCCUAUUAAUUUUUGUUGUGCAAUCACAAUCAGAGGGGAAAGGGAAGAGUGAACCAAAAACCAUCAACAAAU
rnacentral:lncRNA from 1 species